rnacentral:tRNA from 2 species
UGCCCCUAUAGCUCAGUUGGUAGAGCUACGGACUUUUAAUCCGCAGGUCCCAGGUUCGAGCCCUGGUGGGGGCACCCA